rnacentral:lncRNA from 1 species
GGGCAAGAAAAUAGGAGGAGGUUAAAGAAGUGGACAGAACACCAUGGAAGGAGGCUGAAGCUCAAGUGGGUGAGAUGACUGAUGAGAAUCCCCCAGUGGGGGAAAUUCUGCCAGACUUUUGAGAACAGGGUUUGCUAGUGUUCAGCUUUAUGAUUGCUGCAUAGUUGUCAUAGAUUGGGUUUCCUAGAUCUAGAUCUUGAGGUAAGACUUGAAGUGCAAGUAGUUUAUUUGAGGUGAAAGAAACGCCAGCAGGAGAAUAGGGAGAUCCUUAUCUUCUGCUUUUGGAUAUAUACCACAUCUUGAAGGAGACUGAACUGACUCCAGAGGGUGUCGUUCCCAGGCUGAUGUGUUGGCUGUGCCUUUGAGGACAUUCAGAUAUUUUCUCAAGUUGGCAAAUUCUCGAUUGUGCCAUGUAGGAGGUUUGAAGGCUGUGGGUCCGUUAUUGCCUUCUUUGUGACAAAAAAAUUUCUGAGACAGAGAUUCCCAUGUAGGAAAUUUAUUGAGAAGUGCCCUUAGGAUCAACACUUGUGGGAGCCGUGGGAUUAGGAAGGUGGAUGAGGUAAACAUCCAUGCAAUGGCAACCAAGUCCUCAGCCAAUUCUGCAGGGAAUUCACACUAGCAAGGUGCUUCAGAGUUGGUUCACACUGAGCAGUUGGGGAAUGCAGGCUGUCUCUGGGGAAGAGAGGAAAGGCCUCAGGCAGGCUUUUAAGAUUGAGGACAAGGCUCAGAGAGGGACUCAGCUGAAAGCUGUCAGCUGCUAACAGUCUCAGCAGCUGGGAGAAUGAAUGCCCCAGCCCUGAAAGGGGAAGGAAAAAGGUUAAUAAAACUACUCAGCUGCAAUCUCCUGCUAUCCUUCCGAAGAGGGCAGAAUGGCUAGGUGGAGCCAUGGGCUCAGAGUGUGGAACCUUGAGCUAUAGAGAGUGGAGACUCCAGUCACAGAGGAUUUUUCCCAGCCCUUGAAAAUUAAUGAAGUUUGCUUAGCUGGAUUUUGAAAUUGCUUGGGACAGGUUUGUGCUAAGAAAAUGCCUUCAACAAACAAAGUGGCUCCAGUGGGUUUCCAGUCCCUGGGGAGAGGGGAGAAAGAGAGAAAAGAAUCACUUUCUUAAGGGGAAAAGUACAGCAGCCAUGCCAUUCUGAGGAUUUACUACAGGAUUAAAUAAACUUCUCCACUUGAGGGGGACAUGUUUGUGCUGAAGGAAUAACAUAUUAUUACUUUUUUUGGAGGCACUGAGGAUACAAAUAUGAAUAAAAAACUUGUUGUAAUCUAGAAAAUGUCGUGGAAUAAAGUUGGUCUUUAUGAAGAAUGACCGUGAGCAUUUAAAGCUUGAGGAAGAAAAGCAAGAAGACUUUUCCAGUGAUUCUCAAACUGUCACUGCCCGGGUUUCUAAUGAGGAGUUUGGUCCGGUCGUGAUCCCUCACCAGGCAUCUACUACAACAGACAAUGUGAAUCUGGUGGCAGACGAAGGGGUCUGGAUGAGUCGGAGUUACAGGAAGAAAUCAACCCCGUGUCUGAGUCAUCUUUAUCAUGGUCUAUGUGGCUAGAACCCCAGGGCAAUCUGAAUGGCAACUUGGGUUGGCUUGGCUGCUUACAGACAGAAGGUCAGAAUGGGAAAAAUGUUGGAGAGCUUGGUUGCUUUUGUAAAGUGGGUUUGAAAGUUUGUUGGUGUUUUAAACUAAUUUUCAAAAAAGCAGUAUGUGGUUGUGACUAAGACUAUAGAUUGAUAACCAGAUUGGUUGAGUUCGUAUCCAGAACCUACUGCUUACUAGCUUUUUAUUUCCUUUAUAGACAAACUUCUUAACCAUUCUGUGCCUCAGUUUCAUCAUCUUUAAAUUGGGGAUAAUAUUAUUACCUCAGUAGUUGUAAGGAUUGAAUGAGUAAUACAUUAAAGCGCUUUGACCAGUGCCCAGUAUAGUAAGCACUCAGUAAAUUCUCAGCCCCAUGAGGUCGGUGUAGGUGUGAGGGUUAAUUUUAUGUGUCACUUGACUGGCUAAGCGAUGCCCAGAUAGCUGGCAAACAUUAUUUCUGGACGUGUUUGAGAGGAUGUUUCUCAAAGAGAUUAGCAUUUGAAUCAGUUGACUGAGUAAGAAGAUGCCCUCACCAAUGCGGGUGGACAUCAUCCAGUCAUUGAGGGCCUGAGUAGAACAGAAAGGCAGAGGAAGGGAGAAUUCGCUCUCUGCUUAAGCUGGGACGUCCGUCUUCUCCUGCCCUCGGAUGCCAGCACUCUGGUUCUUGUGCCUUCAUACUGGGACUGGCACUGACUUCAUCGGCUCCUGGUUCUCAUGCCUGCACGUUUGGACUGGAACUGCACCACCGCCUUUCCUGGGCCUCCAGCUUGCAGUCUUCUCAGCCUCCAUGAUCGCAU